GAUGAACGCUAGCUACAGGCUUAACACAUGCAAGUCGAGGGGAAACGACAUCGGAAGCUUGCUUUGAUGGGCGUCGACCGGCGCACGGGUGAGUAACGCGUAUCCAACCUGCCCACCACUUGGGGAUAACCUUGCGAAAGUAAGACUAAUACCCAAUGACGUCUCUAGAAGACAUCUGAAAGGGAUUAAAGAUUUAUCGGUGAUGGAUGGGGAUGCGUCUGAUUAGCUUGUUGGCGGGUAACGGCCCACCAAGGCAACGAUCAGUAGGGGUUCUGAGAGGAAGGUCCCCCACAUUGGAACUGAGACACGGUCCAAACUCCUACGGGAGGCAGCAGUGAGGAAUAUUGGUCAAUGGGCGAGAGCCUGAACCAGCCAAGUAGCGUGCAGGAUGACGGCCCUAUGGGUUGUAAACUGCUUUUAUAAGGGAAUAAAGUGAGCCUCGUGAGGCUUUUUGCAUGUACCUUAUGAAUAAGGACCGGCUAAUUCCGUG
rnacentral:rRNA from 1 species